UCAGGUCAUCCUCUGGUGGACAACCUUGCUGAAUUCCAUUGUGGAGAGUGUGCAUGACGCUGAGUCCUGGUGGGAGUAUCCAGCGGAAUUCGACAAGGAGAUAAUGGAGGAUGUUACAGCGCAUCCGGACCCUGGCUCCUUCUUCAGGAAAACCCUGGACACCGUCACAUUGCUCAGGAAAAUGAAGACGCCGUUGCCCCAAGCGCUCCGGUCGGCAGUGCUGCACGUGGCGGUGUCCGGGGCCAACUACCUGGAGCCAGG